GCGUACACGGUGGAUGCCCUGGCAGUCAGAGGCGAUGAAGGGCGUGCUAAUCUGCGAUAAGCGCCGGUAAGGUGAUAUGAACCGUUAUAACCGGCGAUACCCGAAUGGGGAAACCCAGUGUGACUCGUCACACUAUCAUUAACUGAAUCCAUAGGUUAAUGAGGCGAACCGGGGGAACUGAAACAUCUAAGUACCCCGAGGAAAAGAAAUCAACCGAGAUUCCCCCAGUAGCGGCGAGCGAACGGGGAGGAGCCCAGAGCCUGAAUCAGCAUGUGUGUUAGUGGAAGCGUCUGGAAAGGCGCGCGAUACAGGGUGACAGCCCCGUACACAAAAGCGCAUGUGCUGUGAGCUCGAUGAGUAGGGCGGGACACGUGGUAUCCUGUCUGAAUAUGGGGGGACCAUCCUCCAAGGCUAAAUACUCCUGACUGACCGAUAGUGAACCAGUACCGUGAGGGAAAGGCGAAAAGAACCCCGGCGAGGGGAGUGAAAAAGAACCUGAAACCGUGUACGUACAAGCAGUGGGAGCCCCAC
rnacentral:rRNA from 1 species